AUGGACCACCAUCUCCAUGGCCAUUCGUACUCUGUGGACUUGGAGAGAUGCGCAGAAAGUCCUAACAGUGGCAACAGAAGCUCACUUCAGAAGCUCUGGAAAACAACAGGAAAGUACCACGAAGAAAGCAAAGAUCACCCCAAAUUCCCCCACCCAGAAGCAGCUCGUUCCCUACUCCAUUUAACACUCUCCUUCCUUCAGCCAACCUCAGAACGCAAAUGCCGCACCAUACCCCAAAGCCAAAGGCCCAGGCGACAACCUCACAUGCAGAAUUAAAAAAUGCCCAGGCUCAGGGCAGCUGGGUGGCUCAGUC